GACGGAUCCUCGCCUGACAACACCUCCUCUCCUGUCACAGGGAGAGGGAUGGAGCUCUGAAUGCAGCCUUUAUCGCUGCUGUUCUUUGCUGUAGCCAAGGCACUGCUGGACCAAAGAAACCUGACGUCUCAAGACCGGGUGACAAAUAGAGGCCUCUCUAGAGGCCGGCUGAAAGCCACACGCUGCUGGGUGAGAACCAGAGACCCAGAACCGGAGAAGAAGCGCCCUUUGCACCUGGAACACAGAACAUGUGCACAUAACACGAAUGGAACUGAGGGGGUUCACGCAGGCUGUUACAGCACCGAUGGUGAAACAUGCUUGGACGACUGGGUCAGGAUGGAAAAGUACAGCCUGGACCACAUCUAGAACAUCUGUGUAUCUGAAAGUGAGAGCAGCAACAAGCGGGGUUUGCCUCUUCCACAUCUCUGGCUCUCAAGAAAGUUGGACAAAUACUGCUGGAGGUGUGAGGCUGAGAAGCUGUCAGGCUCAUACACCACCCACCUAUGAGGCGUGUUCCUGAGCUCAGCUGAGGGGAAAAGCACGUCCAGGUGGUCGUACAGGAUGGGCUCCUGACUGAUGCUACUCAGGGCAAAGUGUUGAAGAACCCUGAUGAAGUCCAGAACACAGCAAUCAUAAACAGAAUCAGA